rnacentral:lncRNA from 1 species
GUAUAUACUACCAACAUCCACCACCCUCGACGUCGCCCAAACUAUACUAACCCACCUUCAGCCCCUUUUCAAAUUUCUCAACCAAAUCCACCCCAAAACCGACCUCGACCUCCAUUUAACUCAAGAUUUCCUCCUCCAAAUAGACCUGCUUACAACUAUUCUCAACCCACUGAACCCUACAACAGACCCCCUAGCCGUACUUUUACCAAUUUAGGCAGGCCUUUAGACCAAUUAUAUGACCAGUUAAGGGCCUCCGGAAAAAU